CCCUUAGAUGUUCUGGGCCGCACGCGCGCUACACUGAUGCAUUCAACGAGCCUAUCCUUGACCGACAGGUCCGGGUAAUCUUUGAAUCUGCAUCGUGACGGGGAUAGAUUAUUGCAAUUAUUAAUCUUCAACGAGGAAUGCCUAGUAGGCGCAAGUCAUCAGCUUGCGUCGAUUACGUCCCUGCCCUUUGUACACACCGCCCGUCGCUCCUACCGAUUGAAUGGUCCGGUGAAGCCUCCGGAUUGGCGCGCACCUCGGUGCCGCCGAGAAGUUGGCUAAACCUUACCAUUUAGAGGAAGGUGAAGUCGUAACA
rnacentral:rRNA from 1 species